GCACUGCCGGGGGCUGUGGCCUCCAUCCCACCCAGAGUCCCCAACAGCCUCAGGACUCUAGAACCCAAAUAUAGUGCAGGGUUGUUGAAGUGAUAAAGAAACGAAAACGCAAGACUAUGGAAACCGAAGCUCAGCGGUGGAAAGGAUUUCCUGGGAAUACACACCAAAGUCUUAACAGGAUCGAGACAUGGCUUUGUGAUUGCCAUCUCUACACAGGACACAUGCACUUUAGCGGUGCAGGGUCCCCCGGAAAGUUAACUGCUUGUCCCUAUGACCCCAGGGGAGCCCGAGGCUCCCUCACGGGCUCCCACUUACUUGUCGGUGGAAGCAUGUACUGGGUUGUUAUUAAAGUAAUUUAUAGGCACGUCUCCUGAAGGACUUGUAUCCUCAGCAUUUGGCCCAGAGCCUGGCUCAGAACAGGCUUUUAGUAAAGGUUGGGUGAAAGAACAAA